rnacentral:rRNA from 1 species
CCUACGGGUGGCAGCAGUGAGGAAUAUUGGUCAAUGGACGGAAGUCUGAACCAGCCAUGCAGCGUGCAGGAUGACUGCUCUAUGAGUUGUAAACUGCUUUUGUACAAGGGUAAACCUGAAUACGUGUAUUCAGCUGAAAGUACUGUACGAAUAAGGAUCGGCUAACUCCGUGCCAGCAGCCGCGGUAAUACGGAGGAUCCAAGCGUUAUCCGGAUUUAUUGGGUUUAAAGGGUGCGUAGGCGGAUUGAUAAGUUAGAUGUGAAAUGUUCGGGCUUAACUCGGAAACUGCCUCUAAUACUGUUGGUCUAGAGAAUAGAUGCGGUAGGCGGAAUGUAUGGUGUAGCGGUGAAAUGCUUAGAGAUCAUACAGAACACCGAUUGCGAAGGCAGCUUACCAAUCUAUAUCUGACGUUGAGGCACGAAAGCGUGGGGAGCAAACAGGAUUAGAUACCCCAGUAGUC